rnacentral:misc_RNA from 1 species
GAUGAAGAACGUAGCGAAAUGCGAUAAGUAAUGUGAAUUGCAGAAUUCAGUGAAUCAUCGAAUAUUUGAACGCACAUUGCGCCCGCCAGUAUUCUGGCGGGCAUGCCUGUUCGAGCGUCAUUUCAACCCUCAAGCACAGCUUGGUGUUGGGACUCGCGUUAAUUCGCGUUCCUCAAAUUGAUUGGCGGUCACGUCGAGCUUCCAUAGCGUAGUAGUAAAACCCUCGUUACUGGUAAUCGUCGCGGCCACGCCGUUAAACCCCAACUUCUGAAUGUUGACCUCGGAUCAGGUAGGAAUACCCGCUGAACUUAAGCAUAUCAAUAAGCGGAGGA